AACAUAGGCCUAAAUAUAGUUAAACGUUUGAGGGGGCCAAUACAAAAACGAUUUAUGAAUAUGGUACACCAUUUUGGACAGUGGGACGUGAACAUUUUACAUAUUUUUGAGGGACUAUUCGUGGAUGGAUUUGAAAAGGGAAUAGGUACAUCUUAAUUUUACCUUAUAUCUGAUAUUAAAAAAAUUCAAGAAUGGGAUUUAUUUUUAGCUGUUGAGUAAGGUGGGGUGGGCAUAGUGAGGUAAUCUGCCAAAAUAUUUAGCUCUUAGAAAUUUUGAUUUGGUCAAGUCACUGAAUUCGAAAACGUUUUGGCAAUCUAUGUAAUGAAUAUGCUAGAAGUACAUCCUCGAUUCGUCGCUUUAAUGAUAUUAAAAAUAUAUAUAUAUAUGUAAUAUUUAAAUGUAUUAUAAUGAAUAGCUAUUACAUUCGUGUCAUUAUAUUGUCUAAAAUAUUCAAUGUAUAUGUCUUCUAAUGGUCUUUGAAUUAGUAUCCUCUUAUAUUUGUUUUGAAAUUACAUUGCAAAGAAAUUAUCAUAUUCUUUAUUUGUUAUCAUAAUAAUAAUAGCAUUUAAAUGAUUUCGGUAUCAAAUAUUGAACCAAUAAUAAUAUUUGUACGCAUUUAAAAUUUAGUGGGUUUAGUUAGUUAUAUAGAAGAUACGGGAAAUGAGUAAUAAUCGUAUAACUGAAAAAAAGUUUCUUCGUAUAAAUUAAUUAUUUUGCAUUUUAAACGUGAAAUAUUUACGAAAAUUCGGAUAUUAUUCCUAUUGAGAUGAGAGGCAUAUUUUAUUAUAAUCGAUUACUGAUAAAUGGCUGCUAACCUUAAAUAAAGUCACCAAAAAUGUUGCUAAAAUAUAAUUGUUUAGCACCGAAUAUUAUGAUAACAUCCAAUAUGUGUGCUUCUACAAAUCAAAUCUGGUUACGUCUGUUUACUUGCAAACAAUAAGUUCAAUAGGUCCGAUAUUAUUAUCGUUUAAUUGUUUUGUGCUGUUAUAAAUCUAUAUUUCAAUAUGAACAAAUUUAUCAUGUUCGUACUUUGUUAUUACGAAGGUGUGUUAUAAUACGGGUGUGCAUCUUGUGUUAUAUACAAUGUAUAGAUACCCAUAAUACCUAUAUAGCAUCUGCCCAAAUGUUGCAAAGAGGCACAAAAUAAUAUUCUUAAUAUUCAUAGGUCUGGUCAUGUCGAGGAUACUUUUUUAUUUUUUAUGAAAUAGAUUAAAUUUUUUUUCUUGUCACGUGAUGAAAGGGAUAUAUAUUACGUACAUUUUUUACACGUUCUAUUACGAUGACCUAAUAAUACAUUUUUGUAGUAGUUUUUAUGAAUUGGAUAUUAUUAGUAAACACCUAAUCAGAUCACCAUUGUCCGAAUUUAUUAAUGUACUAUUUUAAUGAAUGGUUUUUAGACCGUUACAAAUAUCUUUUAAUUUUGUCUUUCUUAUUAUUAAAUAACCAGACGGCAGGGGGGCCUCUACAAAAAGCAAUCAAAUUUUGACGCUAAAUUCUAUUAUUAUGUAUCUUUAGUUAUUGACACACAACAAAUUAAUCUUUAACUUUUAUUAUAUUGUGUAGUAAUAAUAAUAUGGAUAAGUUAUUGAUCCGCAGUUAACAAUAUUUGACGAUUAUAUUCAUUGUUGUCAACUAUAAAGGGUGUCCUACGAAGAUAAUCAAAUUCUGUUUUUGUUUUUUUUUUUUUU
rnacentral:lncRNA from 1 species